GAGGGUAUAGCUCAGUGGUAGAGCAUGUGCUUAGCUUACGGGAGGUCCUGGGUUCAAUUCCCAGUACCUUGA
rnacentral:tRNA from 1 species